rnacentral:rRNA from 1 species
GACGAACGCUGGCGGCGUGCUUAACACAUGCAAGUCGAACGGAAAGGCCCUGCUUUUGUGGGGUGCUCGAGUGGCGAACGGGUGAGUAACACGUGAGUAACCUGCCCUUGACUUUGGGAUAACUUCAGGAAACUGGGGCUAAUACCGGAUAGGAGCUCCUGCUGCAUGGUGGGGGUUGGAAAGUUUCGGCGGUUGGGGAUGGACUCGCGGCUUAUCAGCUUGUUGGUGGGGUAGUGGCUUACCAAGGCUUUGACGGGUAGCCGGCCUGAGAGGGUGACCGGCCACAUUGGGACUGAGAUACGGCUCAGACUCCUACGGGAGGCAGCAGUGGGGAAUAUUGCACAAUGGGCGGAAGCCUGAUGCAGCAACGCCGCGUGCGGGAUGACGGCCUUCGGGUUGUAAACCGCUUUCGCCUGUGAUGAAGCGUGAGUGACGGUAAUGGGUAAAGAAGCACCGGCUAACUACGUG